rnacentral:rRNA from 1 species
UACGUAGGGUGCGAGCGUUGUCCGGAAUUAUUGGGCGUAAAGGGCUCGUAGGCGGUUUGUCACGUCGGGAGUGAAAACUCAGGGCUCAACCCUGAGCCUGCUUCCGAUACGGGCAGACUAGAGGUAUGCAGGGGAGAACGGAAUUCCUGGUGUAGCGGUGAAAUGCGCAGAUAUCAGGAAGAACACCCGUGGCGAAGGCGGCUCUCUGGGACGGUACUGACGCUGAGACGCGAAAGCGUGGGGAGCGAACAGG